rnacentral:rRNA from 1 species
AUGAAAUCGAGUAGGACGGGACACGAGAAAUCCUGUUUGAACAUGGGGGGACCAUCCUCCAAGGCUAAAUACUACUGACUGACCGAUAGUGAACCAGUACCGUGAGGGAAAGGCGAAAAGAACCCCGUUGAGGGGAGUGAAAUAGAUCCUGAAACCCUGUACGUAUAAGCAGUGGAAGCCUGAAAGCUAGGACUUGUCUUAGUAAUUAGGGUGACUGCGUACCUUUUGUAUAAUGGGUCAGCGACUUACUUUCAGUGGCAAGGUUAACCGUAUAGGGGAGCCGAAGGGAAACCGAGUCUUAAUAGGGCGUUUGAGUCGCUGGGAGUAGACCCGAAACCGGGCGAUCUAUCCAUGGGCAGGUUGAAGGUUGAGUAACAUCAACUGGAGGACCGAACCGACUAUCGUUGAAAAGCUAGCGGAUGACCUGUGGAUAGGA